rnacentral:rRNA from 1 species
AUUGAACGCUGGCGGCAGGCCUAACACAUGCAAGUCGAGCGAGCGGCGGACGGGUGAGUAAUGUAUGGGGAUCUGCCCGAUAGAGGGGGAUAACUACUGGAAACGGUGGCUAAUACCGCAUACCAUCGGAUGUGCUCAGAUGGGAUUAGCUAGUAGGUGGGGUAACGGCUCACCUAGGCGACGAUCCCUAGCUGGUCUGAGAGGAUGACCAGCCACACUGGGACUGAGACACGGUCCAGACGCCUACGGGAGUAAGCAGUGGGGACUAUGGCGCAUGGGGGGCAACCCUGACGCAGCCAUGCCGCGGGAAUGAAGAAGGCCUUAGGGUUGUAAAGUUCUUUCGGUAGCGAGGCGUUAACUACAGAAGAAGCACCGGCUAACUCCGUGCCAGCAGCCGCGGUAAUAC